ACGCGAAGAACCUUACCAGGUCUUGACAUCCUCGGAACUUGGCAGAGAUGCCUUGGUGCCUUCGGGAACCGAGAGACAGGNGCUGCAUGGCUGUCGUCAGCUCGNGUCGUGAGAUGUUGGGUUAAGUCCCGUAACGAGCGCAACCCUNGUCCUUAGUUGCCAGCGCGUAAUGGCGGGAACUCUAAGGAGACUGCCGGUGACAAACCGGAGGAAGGUGGGGACGACGUCAAGUCAUCAUGGCCCUUACGACCUGGGCUACACACGUGCUACAAUGGAACGCACAGAGGGUUGCAACCUCGCGAGAGUGAGCCAAUCCCACAAAACGUUUCGUAGUCCGGAUCGGAGUCUGCAACUCGACUCCGUGAAGUCGGAAUCGCUAGUAAUCGCGGAUCAGAAUGCCGCGGUGAAUACGUUCCCGGGCCUUGUACACACCGCCCGUCACACCAUGGGAGUGGGUUGCUCCAGAAGUGGUUAGCCUAA
rnacentral:rRNA from 1 species